rnacentral:rRNA from 1 species
GUAGGGAAUCUUCGGCAAUGGACGAAAGUCUGACCGAGCAACGCCGCGUGAGUGAAGAAGGUUUUCGGAUCGUAAAACUCUGUUGGUAGAGAAGAACGUUGGUGAGAGUGGAAAGCUCAUCAAGUGACGGUAACUACCCAGAAAGGGACGGCUAACUACGUGCCAGCAGCCGCGGUAAUACGUAGGUCCCGAGCGUUGUCCGGAUUUAUUGGGCGUAAAGCGAGCGCAGGUGGUUUAUUAAGUCUGGUGUAAAAGGCAGUGGCUCAACCAUUGUAUGCAUUGGAAACUGGUAGACUUGAGUGCAGGAGAGGAGAGUGGAAUCCCAUGUGUAGCGGUGAAAUGCGUAGAUAUAUGGAGGAACACCGGUGGCGAAAGCGGCUCUCUGGCCUGUAACUGACACUGAGGCUCGAAAGCGUGGGGAGCAAACAGGAUUAGAAACCCGUGUAGUCC